AUGGCGUCGGCGACGGAGAUGCAGCCGCUGGCACCGUCGGGCUACCGCCGGGCGCCGGAGAUGAAGGAGAAGGUGGAGGCGUCGUCGAUCGACCUGGAGGCGGGGAACGGGGAGACGCUCUACCCGGGGAUCUCGCGCGGGGAGAACGCCCUCCGCUGGGGCUUCAUCCGCAAGGUCUACGGCAUCCUCUGCGCGCAGCUGGUCCUCACCACCGUCGUCUCCGCCAUCACCGUCUUCUACCCCACCCUCAACGCCACGCUCUCCAACUCGCCCGUCCUCGCGCUCGUGCUCGCCGUCCUCCCCUUCAUCCUGAUGAUCCCAUUGUACAUCUAUCAGCACAGACACCCUCACAAUCUUGCUAUCUUGGGUUUGUUCACUCUGUGCUUGAGCUUCAGCAUUGGUGUGGCUUGUGCAAACACUGAAGGAACUAUUGUGCUUCAAGCAUUGGUACUGACCUCAGCUGUGGUUGUCUCUCUGACUGCAUACACAUUCUGGGCCGCAAAGAAGGGCAAGGAAUUUAGUUACCUUGGACCGUUUCUGUUUUCUGCUCUCACCAUCCUGGUCGUGAUAAGCUUUACCCAGAUCUUCUUCCCAUUUGGACCUGCAUCGAAUGCUGUGAUCGGUGGGUUUGGAGCUCUAGUCUUCUCAGGCUUCAUCGUCUACGACACUGAGAACUUGAUAAAGCGCCACACUUAUGACGAGUACAUCUGGGCGUCUGUUGAGCUUUACCUCGACAUCCUCAACCUGUUCCUGACCAUCCUACAGAUGCUCAGGCAGAAUGACAACUGA
rnacentral:rRNA from 1 species